UGCCAGUGAUAAACUGGAGGAAGGUGGGGAUGACGUCAAGUCAUCAUGGCCCUUACGACCAGGGCUACACACGUGCUACAAUGGCGCAUACAAAGAGAAGCGACCUCGCGAGAGCAAGCGGACCUCAUAAAGUGCGUCGUAGUCCGGAUUGGAGUCUGCAACUCGACUCCAUGAAGUCGGAAUCGCUAGUAAUCGUGGAUCAGAAUGCCACGGUGAAUACGUUCCCGGGCCUUGUACACACCGCCCGUCACACCAUGGGAGUGGGUUGCAAAAGAAGUAGGUAGCUUAACCUUCGGGAGGGCGCUUACCACUUUGUGAUUCAUGACUGGGGUGAAGUCGUAACAAGGUAACCGUAGGGGAACCUGCGGUUGGAUCACCUCCUUACCUUAAAGAAGC
rnacentral:rRNA from 21 species